CCUCCUUCAAGAUGAGAUUUCCCAUAGCGUAAGCUAGUAAGACCCCUUGAAGACUACAAGGUUGAUAGGUCAGAGGUGUAAGUAUGGCAACAUAUUUAGCUGACUGAUACUAAUAGGUCGAGGGCUUGACCAA
rnacentral:rRNA from 1 species